AACGAACGCUGGCGGCAGGCUUAACACAUGCAAGUCGAGCGCAUCCUUCGGGGUGAGCGGCGGACGGGUGAGUAACGCGUGGGAACGUGCCCUCUUCUACGGAAUAGCCUCGGGAAACUGAGAGUAAUGCCGUAUACGCCCGCAAGGGGAAAGAUUUAUCGGAGGAGGAUCGGCCCGCGUUGGAUUAGGUAGUUGGUGGGGUAACGGCCUACCAAGCCGACGAUCCAUAGCUGGUUUGAGAGGAUGAUCAGCCACACUGGGACUGAGACACGGCCCAGACUCCUACGGGAGGCAGCAGUGGAGAAUCUUGGACAAUGGGGGCAACCCUGAUCCAGCCAUGCCGCGUGAUCGAUGAAGGCCUUAGGGUUGUAAAGAUCUUUCAGCUGGGAAGAUAAUGACGGUACCAGCAGAAGAAGCCCCGGCUAACUCCGUG
rnacentral:rRNA from 1 species